GCCGAGGUGGCGAAAUGGUAGACGCAUCUGCCUUAGGAGCAGACGGGGGUUUCCCUGUGGAGGUUCAAGUCCUCUCCUCGGCA
rnacentral:tRNA from 1 species